rnacentral:rRNA from 1 species
UCUGGAAGGAAAAAGGUAAUACUUUUUAGGAAACCUAUACCCCUUGGCGGCCUUAUUUCUUAUUGGAGGAACUUGUUCUUUAAUCGAAAUUACCCGAUAAUUUUCUCUUUCAUUCUGUUUUUAUACCGUCGUCUUAAGGGCAUCAUAAAACAGAUUGCCCCACUAUGAAUAGUUAGGCAAGUCAGAUCAAGGUGAAGCUUAUAUGAAAGUUAGAGUGAGUUAUUUAUUAAAACUAUUAUAGGAUUUUAUUUUAAAAAUUAUUUGAAUUAAGAUUCAACAAUAUCUCAAGAUUAAAAUUCUUUAGAGAAGAAGUAAAAAAAGGUGU